AAUAGAGAGCGAAUCCCCCUGCGCUGCGUUUACGAGUUGGUUUCAAAGCGUGAUUAUAACAAACAGUGAAGAUCACCCUACCCGGUUGAUUAGAAGGGCUGGGAAGCAAGUGAAUAUUUCAGCAACGGGCCUCCCUGCGGUGCCACGUUAGAAACGUGGCAAGCAAGGAGGAAAUGUCCCCUCUAUCGCGGCCCUGAAUGCGGAAAUUGUGAAGAUUCGUCGUUGGCUCAGUAAUAGCAGUUAACAGAAAACCAUUUCUCGCCAAAAGAUUCACACAUUUUGUUCCACGUCGAAACCAAAAAAAAAAAAGAAAUGUCUUGUCUCCAUAGGAGUCAGUUAUCCGACGAUGGAAAAAUCUGUACUGCUGCCCAAAUAUUUCGUUAACUGGAGCGGUAACCUAUUUUUAACCAUCAUCUCACUACGCAGUAGUUAAACUAAUAACUAAGCAGUUCAUCUUAACUAUCAUUAAGGCAGUCAACUUCCUCUCGGGACGUGGAAAGGGAAAAAAAAGAAAAAGACGUUUG
rnacentral:sRNA from 1 species